UACGGGGGGAGCAAGCGUUGUUCGGAUUUACUGGGCGUAAAGGGCGCGUAGGCGGUCAGCACAAGUCAGUUGUGAAAUCUCCGGGCUUAACUCUGAAAGGUCAACUGAUACUGUGCGACUAGAGUGCAGAAGGGGCAACUGGAAUUCUCGGUGUAGCGGUGAAAUGCGUAGAUAUCGAGAGGAACACCUGCGGCGAAGGCGGGUUGCUGGGCUGACACUGACGCUGAUGCGCGAAAGCCAGGGGAGCGAACGGG
rnacentral:rRNA from 1 species